CUACCAUGCAGUCGAGGGGAAACGGCAUUGAGUGCUUGCACUCUUUGGACGUCGACCGGCGCACGGGUGAGUAACGCGUAUCCAACCUUCCCAUUACUGUGGGAUAACCUGCCGAAAGGCAGACUAAUACCGCAUAGUCUUCGAUGACGGCAUCAGAUUUGAAGUAAAGAUUUAUCGGUAAUGGAUGGGGAUGCGUCUGAUUAGCUUGUUGGCGGGGUAACGGCCCACCAAGGCAACGAUCAGUAGGGGUUCUGAGAGGAAGGUCCCCCACAUUGGAACUGAGACACGGUCCAAACUCCUACGGGAGGCAGCAGUGAGGAAUAUUGGUCAAUGGACGGAAGUCUGAACCAGCCAAGUAGCGUGCAGGAUGACGGCCCUAUGGGUUGUAAACUGCUUUUGUAUGGGGAUAAAGUUAGGGACGUGUCCCUAUUUGCAGGUACCAUACGAAUAAGGACCGGCUAAUUCCGUGCCAGCAGCCGGGUAAUACGGAAGGUCCAGGCGUUAUCCGGAUUUAUUGGGUUUAAAGGGAGCGUAGGCUGGAGAUUAAGUGUGUUGUGAAAUGUAGACGCUCAACGUCUGAAUUGCAGCGCAUACUGGUUUCCUUGAGUACGCACAACGUUGGCGGAAUUCGUCGUGUAGCGGUGAAAUGCUUAGAUAUGACGAAGAACUCCGAUUGCGAAGGCAGCUGACGGGAGCGCAACUGACGCUUAAGCUCGAAGGUGCGGGUAUCAAACAGGAUUAGAUACCCUGGUAGUCCGCACAGUAAACGAUGGAUGCCCGCUGUUGGUACCUGGUAUCAGCGGCUAAGCG
rnacentral:rRNA from 1 species